UCGGCGUCACCUAGAGAUGGAUCCGCGGUGCAUUAGUUAGUUGGUGGGGUAAAGGCCUACCAAGACAAUGAUGCAUAGCCGAGUUGAGAGACUGAUCGGCCACAUUGGGACUGAGACACGGCCCAAACUCCUACGGGAGGCUGCAGUAGGGAAUCUUCCACAAUGGGCGAAAGCCUGAUGGAGCAACGCCGCGUGUGUGAUGAAGGCUUUCGGGUCGUAAAGCACUGUUGUAUGGGAAGAACAGCUAGAAUAGGAAAUGAUUUUAGUUUGACGGUACCAUACCAGAAAGGGACGGCUAAAUACGUGCCAGCAGCCGCGGUAAUACGUAUGUCCCGAGCGUUAUCCGGAUUUAUUGGGCGUAAAGCGAGCGCAGACGGUUUAUUAAGUCUGAUGUGAAAGCCCGGAGCUCAACUCCGGAAUGGCAUUGGAAACUGGUUAACUUGAGUGCAGUAGAGGUAAGUGGAACUCCAUGUGUAGCGGUGGAAUGCGUAGAUAUAUGGAAGAACACCAGUGGCGAAGGCGGCUUACUGGACUGCAACUGACGUUGAGGCUCGAAAGUGUGGGUAGCAAACAGGAUUAGAUACCCUGGUAGUCCACACCGUAAACGAUGAACACUAGGUGUUAGGAGGUUUCCGCCUCUUAGUGCCGAAGCUAACGCAUUAAGUGUUCCGCCUGGGGAGUACGACCGCAAGGUUGAAACUCAAAGGAAUUGACGGGGACCCGCACAAGCGGUGGAGCAUGUGGUUUAAUUCGAAGCAACGCGAAGAACCUUACCAGGUCUUGACAUCCUUUGAAGCUUUUAGAGAUAGAAGUGUUCUCUUCGGAGACAAAGUGACAGGUGGUGCAUGGUCGUCGUCAGCUCGUGUCGUGAGAUGUUGGGUUAAGUCCCGCAACGAGCGCAACCCUUAUUGUUAGUUGCCAGCAUUCAGAUGGGCACUCUAGCGAGACUGCCGGUGACAAACCGGAGGAAGGCGGGGACGACGUCAGAUCAUCAUGCCCCUUAUGACCUGGGCUACACACGUGCUACAAUGGCGUAUACAACGAGUUGCCAACCCGCGAGGGUGAGCUAAUCUCUUAAAGUACGUCUCAGUUCGGAUUGUAGUCUGCAACUCGACUACAUGAAGUCGGAAUCGCUAGUAAUCGCGGAUCAGCACGCCGCGGUGAAUACGUUCCCGGGUCUUGUACACACCGCCCGUCACACCAUGGGAGUUUGUAAUGCCCAAAGCCGGUGGCCUAACCUUUUAGGAAGGAGCCGUCUAAGGCAGGACAGAUGACUGGGGUGAAGUC
rnacentral:rRNA from 1 species